GCCGAAAGGAAAGAAGGCCAAGGGAAAGAAGGUGGCUCCGGCCCCAGCUGUCGUGAAGAAGCAGGAGGCUAAGAAAGUGGUGAAUCCCCUGUUUGAGAAAAGGCCUAAGAAUUUUGGCAUUGGACAGGACAUCCAGCCCAAAAGAGACCUCACCCGCUUUGUGAAAUGGCCCCGCUAUAUCAGGUUGCAGCGGCAGAGAGCCAUCCUCUAUAAGCGGCUGAAAGUGCCUCCUGCGAUUAACCAGUUCACCCAGGCCCUGGACCGCCAAACAGCUACUCAGCUGCUUAAGCUGGCCCACAAGUACAGACCAGAGACAAAGCAAGAGAAGAAGCAGAGACUGUUGGCCCGGGCCGAGAAGAAGGCUGCUGGCAAAGGGGACGUCCCAACGAAGAGACCACCUGUCCUUCGAGCAGGAGUUAACACCGUCACCACCUUGGUGGAGAACAAGAAAGCUCAGCUGGUGGUGAUUGCACACGACGUGGAUCCCAUCGAGCUGGUUGUCUUCUUGCCUGCCCUGUGUCGUAAAAUGGGGGUCCCUUACUGCAUUAUCAAGGGAAAGGCAAGACUGGGACGUCUAGUCCACAGGAAGACCUGCACCACUGUCGCCUUCACACAGGUGAACUCGGAAGACAAAGGCGCUUUGGCUAAGCUGGUGGAAGCUAUCAGGACCAAUUACAAUGACAGAUACGAUGAGAUCCGCCGUCACUGGGGUGGCAAUGUCCUGGGUCCUAAGUCUGUGGCUCGUAUCGCCAAGCUCGAAAAGGCAAAGGCUAAAGAACUUGCCACUAAACUGGGUUAAAU
rnacentral:misc_RNA from 1 species